rnacentral:lncRNA from 1 species
AAGAGAGAUGAAGGUGGGUGAGGGGAAGGUGGUUGAGAGAGAGACACGCGCCCCCGGCUCGGCCAGAGGCCCUCCUCGGGGGUCUAGGACUAGCCUGGGACCCAGCCGCUGGGGUAGGGGACCAAGCCAGCUGUGCGGAGGGAAGCGCAACGGCCCAAAACACUUGGUAGAAUGCACCGGUGAAGCUAUCUGGUCCUGCGCUUUUCUUUGUGGUCAUAAGGCUCCGAUCCCUGCUGAGAGGACCCUGCUCCACACCCAGAAGGAAAGAAAGCAUGCUCACAGAGACCACAAAAAACCUAGACAGACACUGGGUUUCCCCACUCUUUUUUCUUUUUUUUUUUUUUUUUUUUGAAGUGGAGUUUCAUUCUUGUCUCCCAGGCUGG